rnacentral:rRNA from 1 species
GUAGUAGGCGGGGUUACCGCCCCCCUAGCCGACGAUGGAUAGGGGUUCUGAGAGGAAGGUCCCCCACAUUGGAACUGAGACACGGUCCAAACUCCUACGGGAGGCAGCAGUGAGGAAUAUUGGUCCAUGGACGAGAGUCUGAACCAACCAAGUAGCGUGAAAGAUGAAGGUCCUACGGAUUGUUAACUUUCUUUAUUAAGGAAUAAAACCUCCCACCGUGUGGGAACUUGUAUGUACUUAUGAAAUAAGCAUCGGCUAACUCCCUGGCCACCGCCCCCGUAAAUACGGAGGAUGCGAGCGUUAUCCGGAUUUAUUGGGUUAAAGGGAGCGCAGACGGGUCGUUAAGUCAGCUGUGAAAAUUUUGGGGCUCAACCUUAAAAUUGCAGUUGAUACUGGCGUCCUUGAGUGCGGUUGAGGUGUGCGGAAUUCGUGGUGUAGCGGUGAAAUGCUUAGAUAUCACGAAGAACUCCGAUUGCGAAGGCAGCACACUAAGCCGUAACUGACGUUCAUGCUCGAAAGUGUGGGUAUCAAACAGGAUUAGAUACCCUGGUAGUCCACACGGUAAACGAUGGAUACUCGCUGUUGGCGAUAUACUGUCAGCGGCUUAGCGAAAGCGUUAAGUAUCCCACUUGGGGAGUACGCCGGCAACGGUGAAACUCAAAGGAAUUGACGGGGGCCCGCACAAGCGGAGGAACAUGUGGUUUAAUUCGAUGAUACGCGAGGAACCUUACCCGGGCUUAAAUUGCAAAGGAAUAAUCUGGAAACAGAUUAGUCUUCGGACCUUUGUGAAGGUGCUGCAUGGUUGUCGUCAGCUCGUGCCGUGAGGUGUCGGCUUAAGUGCCAUAACGAGCGCAACCCUCGCCGCCAGUUACUAGCAGGUAAUGCUGAGGACUCUGGCGGGACUGCCAUCGUAAGAUGUGAGGAAGGUGGGGAUGACGUCAAAUCAGCACGGCCCUUACGUCCGGGGCUACACACGUGUUACAAUGGGCGGUACAGAAGGCAGCUACCUGGCGACAGGAUGCCAAUCCCUAAAGCCGCUCUCAGUUCGGACUGGAGUCUGCGAACCCGACUCCACGAAGCUGGAUUCGCUAGUAAUCGCGCAUCAGCCACGAGCGCGGUAAAUACGUUUCCCGGGCCU